rnacentral:lncRNA from 1 species
UUUUUCUUUUUUUCAGAACUCUUGCUUUUUGAAAUUGAAGUAUAGUUGAUUUACAAUGUUUUGUUAGUUUCUGGUGUAUAGCAAAGUAAUUCAGUUUAUAUAUAUAUAUAUAUACACAUACAUGUAUGUAUAUUCUUUUUCAUAUUCUUUUCUAUUACGGUUUACUAUAGGAUAUUGAACAUAGUUGCCUGUAUCACACAAACACCUUUAAAUAGAGAAUUGCUGCCUCCUUACUGUACCCAGAUUGGAGGUAGGAAGAUGCAAAAAAGGGGCAUGAUGGAAACACCGAAAGAGUCCUGUGGUCUCAAGUUCAACUCAAUACUGACUACCUUGAAUGGUCAUAUACAUUCACUCAAAUAUCAACUUUAAAACGAUUCAAUGUGCAUUUGGUAAAUGCCUGGCUCCAGGCUCCUCCCCCCAAGGCCAACUCUCAGGCUGCACAGCCACAGGAAACAGCUGCUUAAUCCUCCCAUAAUCAUUUGCUUGCAACUAGAAGAAAUGUCUACACAAGUUGGGAUGGAAGCACAAUUACACAUUUCCCUCUCAAAGUUCUGAACAUGAGAGGGCAACUGAAAGGCUAAAUGAAAAGUCACAAAUAAUUCCAUUCUUCAAAAAGCACUUUAGUUAUAAACCCAAUAAUAAUCUUGAUUUGUGCUCAGUGCAAAAAGUACUUCGAUGUCUUUUCCGCCAAACCUACAUAUCUACAGGUCAUAACCAUGAAAAGCAUGUCUCCCUCAGAAAGAGUUUAGAAAAUCAUAAUAUUAAGUACUUACACAUCUUUAGCUGCUCCUGCAGGGCCUAGAAAGAAAGAAAAAGUUUUCUAUUAUCUUGAUAGUACUGCUACAAAAAUCUUAAGCCCAAUCAAUACCCAACUAAAAUAAUAUUCUAGAAGGGAUGGGUUGAGUGAUUUUUUUUUUUUUAAAGCUCAUUGCAAAAAAAAAAGCAGGAAAAUUUUAAAAAUCCAAGUGUAGAAUUCAUUCUGCCCAUUUUUAACAAUUCCUAUCAAUUAUAAGGUGUUGAUUCUGAAGGGGAUUUUACAGACAGUCUAAUCUCAUCUCCUCAUUUUAUAGUUAAGGGAAAUUGACAGAUUUGAGAAAUAGGAGGUUCAUGGCUUAGACAAGAAACUAAGCUGCUAUCUCCAUGGAAUUGUUACAAGUCCACUACAUACUAAUCACAAAGGGAAGCAAGUCACAAGACAAAAUGUGGUGUCCUAAGUGAAUUAGGAAGUCGCCAGGAUGCAGGCGCAGCUCCAAAAAGAAUAACAGACAUUUCUAACUCUGUUCCUGCUUGCCACUGAGCCCUCUCAUUGCUGCUUCCCACUCACAUGCCAAAAACCCAUCUCUUGUGGAGCCCAUUUCCAUCACUUAUCACAGAUUCACUGCCCACAACACAGUUCCAUCUCUACUUCCUCCCCCUAAUAGCCUUUCUGGAACAACACAGACCUUGGUUCCAACUUUACAAGCAACAUGAUAUUAAAUAUCCUUUCACCUCUUAAAACCUCACUUCCCUCUUGUGUCAAAUGAGGAAUAUAACAGUACUUUCUCAAAGGUUACUAAGGUUUUUAUUAAGUUUUUUUAAAGAUAUCAAAAUAGCAAUGACAUGUUUCAAAGAAAUGGACUAAUCCUAAAUAAUCCUAAAAUUUCUCUGGAUCCACAGUAGACCCUGCAUCACCAAAGCAAUCUUGAGAAACAAACCUGGAAACACCAUGCUCCUUGAUUUCAAACUAUAUGACAAAGCUAUAGUAAUCAAAACAGUAUGUUACUGGUGCAAAAAAAAAAAAGACACACAAGAUCAAUGAAACAGAAUACAGAAUACAGAAGAAUAAACCCACGCAUAUAUGGUCAAUUAAUUUACAACAAAGGAGGCAAGACUAUACAAUGGGGAAUGGGCAGUCUCUUCAAUAUAUAGUGUUGGGAAAGCUGAACAGCCACAUGAAAAAGAAUGAAACUGGGAGGUCCCAUCGUGGCACAGUGGUUAACGAAUCUGACUAGGAACCAUGAGGUUGCGGCUUCGACCCCUGGCCUUGCUCAGUGGGUUAAGGAUCUGGCGUUGCCGUGAGCUGUGGUGUAGGUUGCAGACGCAGCUCGGAUCCCGCGUUGCUGUGGCUCUGGCGUAGGCCGGUGGCUACAAGCUCCGAUUCGACCCCUAGCCUGGGAACUUCCAUAUGCCGUGGGAGUGGCCCAAGAAAUAGGGAGUGGCCCAAGAAAUAGCAAAAAAAAAAAAAGAAUGAGGAGUUCCCGCUGUGGUGCAGUGGGUUAAGGAUACAACUACUGUGGCUUGGGUUGCUGCAGAGAAACAGGUUCA